GAUGAACGCUGGCGGCGUGCCUAAUACAUGCAAGUCGAGCGAACGGACGAGAAGCUUGCUUCUCUGAUGUUAGCGGCGGACGGGUGAGUAACACGUGGAUAACCUACCUAUAAGACUGGGAUAACUUCGGGAAACCGGAGCUAAUACCGGAUAAUAUUUUGAACCGCAUGGUUCAAAAGUGAAAGACGGUCUUGCUGUCACUUAUAGAUGGAUCCGCGCUGCAUUAGCUAGUUGGUAAGGUAACGGCUUACCAAGGCAACGAUGCAUAGCCGACCUGAGAGGGGGUUCGGCCAACCUGGACCUGGGACCGGUUCCAGACCCCAAGGGGGGGCAGCAGGGGGGAAUCUUCCCCAAGGGGGGAAAGCCUGCAGGGGCAACGCCGGGGGGGGGAUGAAGGUCUUGGGGUCGAAAACCUCUUUUAUUGGGAAAAAAAAAAUGUGAAAAUAACUGGGCCAAUCUUGCGGGAACCAAAGCAAAAAGCCCCGGCUAACUCCGG
rnacentral:rRNA from 1 species